CGCAAAUACAGCAGUGAAAUGGCGAAGACUGGGCAAAGCUCUCUCAGAGUGAGAAGAAUGGAGGAGAAGGCAAGCGUCCGUGUUCUAAUCCCCAAGCUCAUUCUCCAAAAGAACGACGAACCCGCCGGCCUCCGAUGGCUGAUCGGAUCCUCAUUUUUACCGCCACUCACUGUCGUCUCCGCACUCAAAUGCAUCCACACCGAUUCCUCCUCCUCCUCAUCUUCAGACUACUCCAGAGAAUCAGAAGAGCUUUGGACGUUACUGCCGAAAGGAUUCCACGUCAUCGGAGCUUUAGUUGUGGCCGAUUCCGACGAAGAGAAGCGCGGCGGCGAGGCCGUUGCGGCGGCGAGAAGGUUACGGAAGCUAAUGUGCGGCGGAAGUGAGAGAAUGGAUGAGCAGGGAGUAAUUGGAGCCGUUGCGGAGUCUAGAGGUGGAGGUAUUGGGUUUUACUUGUCGAAAUCGGAGAGUUGUGAGAGGUUUGAGUGUGUUGAUGUGGUGUAUGAUGAUGAUCCGGAGAGGUUUGUUUGGGAGAGGGGUUGUUUGAUUCGGUGUGAGCUUCCUUUGAAGCUGCCGAUUUACUAUCCAGUAAAUAAGCCUUCUGAUACCGAACAGAUCAUGCAACGUGCAAUUGAAGCAGUUGUUGCCAAGUUCAAAGAUCCAAAGGCUGCAUACCUGGUGGAAACUUUAAGCAAAAAUUCAUCUGAAGUACCUCAGCCUGUCAUCAUUCGUGGUGGAGAUUUGGAUUUUGACAUGGAUCUAUCAGAUGUCAAACUUUUGGGUGAAAGCGGCCAUGAUUCUGAUGCUAAGUUCUUGCCAUGUUCUCAUUUUUGUUUGGAGAGUGAAAAAGACUCCCGCGAGUAUUCUGCUGAGAAUGCAGAUAUGAUCCAAGUAAAUAUUCUGCUUAAUAGUUCAGAGAAGUCUCAAAAAUCCACUGCACCUGUGGCAGAAUAUUUUCCAUCUCUGGAAGAAGUUAGAAUGUUGGUUGUAGAUUUCAAGCUAGAAGUGCUCUGUUAUGCAGCCAAAGGUCUCCCACUGAUGCAUGCAGUUUCAAAUUUAGUCAUCCCAGGGUUAAUUGAUCAGUUAAAUAUAGAAGGGAAAAUUAUCCUGCCCAACCUAUUAGUGCAACGUCCUCAGCUACAUCCCUAUCACUUUAAUCCUCCUGGUGUUCUGCAUCCUAUUACCGUUAUUUAUGAAUUCAACUAUGGUGAAACAGAAAUGAAGCAAGUUGAAGUUAGGAAAUCCCUACACGUAAGGCUGGGUUUACCUUGUGAUCGUCCUCUUUUAAGAAUUGCCAAUGCUCUGGAUUUCUCUGGUCUAAGGAAUGACCCAAUACGAAAAGGAACUACUUUGCUCAAGGAUGUACACAUUGGGAUUCCAAGCAGUUGAGUUUCAGGGGGCAGUGUGUCUCUGGUGCAAGGUUCUUAUGAGUACUACCAUUAUCUACAAGAUGGAUUUAAUGAUUCGGGCUGGGGCUGUGCUUACCGCGCGUUUUUUAAAACACUGCUUCAAACGAUCAUUUCAUGGUUCAGACUCCAACACUAUACAUCUAUAGAUGUUCCGUUGCAUAGGGAAAUACAGCAGUCGCUGGUAGAGAUUGGCGAUAAGGAUCCUUCUUUCAUUGGUUCACGUGAAUGGAUUGGUGCCAUUGAGUUGAGCUUUGUUCUGGACAAGCUUUUGGGAGUCAGUUGCAAAGUCAUGAAUUUUAGAUCUGGAGCUGAGGUUCCUGAAAAAUGUCGAGAGCUGGCCUUGCACUUUGAGAAUCAAGGAACACCUAUCAUGAUUGGUGGAGGAGUUCUUGUAUAUACUCUCUUGGGAGUUGAUUACAAUGAUGCAAGCAGAGACUGCUUUUCUUAUACUUGAUCCUCACUAUACAGGCAACGAUGAACACAAGAAAAUAGUGAACGGUGGAUGGUGUGGGUGGAAAAAGGCUAUUGAUAGCAAGGGAAAGAGUUUCUUCUUGCAUGAUAAGUUCUACAAUCUUUUGCUUUUUCCAAGCAUGUUCACCGAGGAGAACUUGUUUCUUACCAAUGUCUUUCCAUGUGAAAAAGUACCCGUUGAUGCAGUCUCAAGCAACGAGCGUGUUAUCAGAAUACUGCACUUCAAGAUGACCGGAACAUGCAGGGGUGAUGAUAAUAUUGAGUAUACUGAUAUAUGCACUCUAGCAGAUCAUCAACUUAUUGUCCCUGAAUUCGUGCUUUUAUGA